rnacentral:rRNA from 1 species
CCUACGGGUGGCAGCAGUAGGGAAUAUUGCUCAAUGGGGGAAACCCUGAAGCAGCAACGCCGCGUGGAGGAUGAAGGUUUUCGGAUUGUAAACUCCUUUUGUUAGAGAAGAUAAUGACGGUAUCUAACGAAUAAGCACCGGCUAACUCCGUGCCAGCAGCCGCGGUAAUACGGAGGGUGCAAGCGUUACUCGGAAUCACUGGGCGUAAAGAGCGCGUAGGCGGGAUAGCAAGUCAGAUGUGAAAUCCUAUGGCUUAACCGUAGAACUGCAUUUGAAACUGUUAUUCUAGAGUAUGGGAGAGGUAGGUGGAAUUCUUGGUGUAGGGGUGAAAUGCGUAGAGAUCAAGAAGAAUACUCAUUGCGAAGGCGGCCUGCUAGAACAUAACUGACACUGAUGCGCGAAAGCGUGGGGAGCAAACAGGAUUAGAUACCCGAGUAGUC